CAGUAGCCACGGGAAUACGGAGGAUCCAAGCGUUAUCCGGAAUCAUUGGGUUUAAAGGGUCCGUAGGCGGUCUUGUAAGUCAGUGGUGAAAGCCCAUCGCUCAACGGUGGAACGGCCAUUGAUACUGCAGGACUUGAAUUAUUGGGAAGUAACUAGAAUAUGUAGUGUAGCGGUGAAAUGCUUAGAGAUUACAUGGAAUACCAAUUGCGAAGGCCGGUUACUACCAAUUGAUUGACGCUGAUGGACGAAAGCGUGGGUAGCGAACAGGAUUAGAUACCCGCGUAGUCCCUGUCUCUUAUAC
rnacentral:rRNA from 1 species